CUACAGUAGAGCGUUCCCAGGUCAGUUCUCUGACUCUGUUGUGUGUUUCCCAGCAGCUACAGUAGAGCGUUCCCAGGUCAGUUCUCUGACUCUGAUUGUUGUGUGUUUCCCAGCAGCUACAGUAGAGUGUUCCCAGGUCAGUUCUCUGACUCUGAUUGUUGUGUGUUUCCCAGCAGCUACAGUAGAGUGUUCCCAGGUCAGUUCUCUGACUCUGAUUGUUGUGUGUUUCCCAGCAGCUACAGUAGAGCGUUCCCAGGUCAGUUCUCUGACUCUGAUUGUUGUGUGUUUCCCAGCAGCUACAGUAGAGCGUUCCCAGGUCAGUUCUCUGACUCUGUUGUGUGUUUCCCAGCAGCUACAGUAGAGCGUUCCCAGGUCAGUUCUCUGACUCUGAUUGUUGUGUGUUUCCCAGCAGCUACAGUAGAGCGUUCCCAGGUCAGUUCUCUGACUCUGAUUGUUGUGUGUUUCCCAGCAGC